AUUGAACGCUGGCGGCAUGCCUUACACAUGCAAGUCGAACGGUAACAGGGAGCUUGCUCCGCUGACGAGUGGCGAACGGGUGAGUAAUGUAUCGGAACGUACCUUUCAGUGGGGGAUAACGUAGCGAAAGUUACGCUAAUACCGCAUAUUCUGUGAGCAGGAAAGCAGGGGGACCUUCGGGCCUUGCGCUGAUUGAGCGGCUGAUAUCAGAUUAGCUAGUUGGUGAGGUAAAAGGCUCACCAAGGCGACGAUCUGUAGCGGGUCUGAGAGGAUGAUCCGCCACACUGGAACUGAGACACGGUCCAGACUCCUACGGGAGGC
rnacentral:rRNA from 1 species